rnacentral:rRNA from 1 species
CCCAGACUCCUACGGGAGGCAGCAGUGAGGAAUAUUGGUCAAUGGGCGAGAGCCUGAACCAGCCAAGUCGCGUGAGGGAGUACUGCCCUAUGGGUUGUAAACCUCUUUUGUCGGGGAGCAAAAGCCGGACGUGUCCGGCUGUGAGAGUACCCGAAGAAAAAGCAUCGGCUAACUCCGUGCCAGCAGCCGCGGUAAUACGGAGGAUGCGAGCGUUAUCCGGAUUUAUUGGGUUUAAAGGGUGCGCAGGCGGAUUUUUAAGUCAGCGGUCAAAUCGUGGGGCUCAACCCCAUCCAGCCGUUGAAACUGGCUGUCUUGAGAUGUCGAGAGGUAUGCGGAAUGCGCAGUGUAGCGGUGAAAUGCUUAGAUAUUGCGCAGAACUCCGAUUGCGAAGGCAGCAUACCGGCGGCGAUCUGACGCUGAGGCACGAAAGCGUGGGUAUCGAACAGGAUUAGAUACCCGGGUAC